rnacentral:rRNA from 1 species
UACGAAGGGGGCUAGCGUUGCUCGGAAUCACUGGGCGUAAAGGGCGCGUAGGCGGCCACUCAAGUCAGAGGUGAAAGCCCAAGGCUCAACCUUGGAACUGCCUUUGAUACUGUUUGGCUUGAGACCGGUAGAGGUAAGUGGAACUGCGAGUGUAGAGGUGAAAUUCGUAGAUAUUCGCAAGAACACCAGUGGCGAAGGCGGCUUACUGGACCGGUUCUGACGCUGAGGCGCGAAAGCGUGGGGAGCAAACAGG